GACAGAGGUGCCGAGCGUUAGGCGGAAUCACUGGGCUUAAAGCGUGUGUAGGCGGACCGUUAAGUACCUUGUGAAAUCCCCCGGCUCAACCGGGGAACGGCUGGGUAUACUGGCGGUCUUGAGCCAUCCAGGGGCAGUCGGAACAGACGGUGGAGCGGUGAAAUGCGUAGAGAUCCGGAGGAACACCGACGGCGAAGGCAGCGCCCUGGACGAGAUCUGACGCUCAGGCACGAAAGCUGGGGGAGCAAACAGG
rnacentral:rRNA from 1 species